rnacentral:rRNA from 1 species
CCUACGGGAGGCAGCAGUGGGGAAUAUUGGACAAUGGGCGAAAGCCUGAUCCAGCCAUGCCGCGUGUGUGAAGAAGGCCUUCGGGUUGUAAAGCACUUUCAGUGGGGAAGAAAGCCUUGGGGCUAAUACCCUCGAGGAAGGACAUCACCCACAGAAGAAGCACCGGCUAACUCCGUGCCAGCAGCCGCGGUAAUACGGAGGGUGCGAGCGUUAAUCGGAAUUACUGGGCGUAAAGCGCGCGUAGGCGGUCUGAUAAGCCGGUUGUGAAAGCCCCGGGCUCAACCUGGGAACGGCAUCCAGAACUGUCAGGCUAGAGUGCAGGAGAGGAAGGUAGAAUUCCCGGUGUAGCGGUGAAAUGCGUAGAGAUCGGGAGGAAUACCAGUGGCGAAGGCGGCCUUCUGGACUGACACUGACGCUGAGGUGCGAAAGCGUGGGUAGCAAACAGGAUUAGAUACCCGAGUAGUC